UAUGAAAAUGAUAAAGGUAUAUGUGAAAUAUAUGGAAUGAAAUCUGAAAGGCCAUGCUUUGUAGCAUGGUCAAGUAUAGAAAGGAAUUACUAGCUGGGGCUAGCCAAUGUGUUUGGGAACUUUAGCAUAUCUAAAGUGAAAUCAUAGUAUAGAUAAUCUAUGAAUCUCCCUACUGGAAACAGUAAUGAAGUAAUACAGGUUGAAUUGAAACAUCUUAGUAAACCUUGGAAAAUAAAUUAACCAAGAUUCUAUCAGUAGCGGUGAGCGAAAGUAGAUAUAGCCUAUAUCUGAUUUAUCUUAUUCUUAAUAGAGUAAUUCUCUGACCUGAGUAGGUGUAUCGAGUCCCAUGAGAAGGGUUUAUCAGAUUUAAUUAUGUAGGACGGAUCUUUAAAUCUGUCUGAGAGGAAGUACCAAUCUUCCUAGGCUAAAUAUAACACAUUUGAGCGAUAGUGAAUUAGUACCAUGAGGGAAUGCCAUUAAAGUCUUUGACUUUUAACCUAUUAGUAUAUUCUAUAAGCAGUUGACGAGAAGAUUAUUUCUUCUUUACAAUGUACCUUUUGUAUAAUGGACCAAUAAGUUUUUAUUAGAUGCAAGUCAUUUGACUUAGUGAAAUCAAUUAUAGAGAAAAUCUCUUAUGAUAUAUAUAAUUUCAUAGGGUUACAGCUUUACUCUAUGUAAAGUAUCUAAUAAAAGACCCGACAGUUCGUGAUUUAACCAUUACCAGGUAGUAGACCGAACGGGUAUCUGUAGCAUAAGAUUCCGAUGAGUAAUGGUUAGUUAGUGAAAGAUAAAUCGGACGAACAUAUAGCUGGUUAUCCACGAAAUCUAUUUUAGUAGAGCACCCUCCCAGAUGUCUUCUCUGUAUAGCACUGAUUAUCAUUAUUAUUUUAUAUAAUAUUAAAUGGGGAUUCUUUAAGAAUUUAUCAUUGGUAGUUAAUCUCAGAAUAAGAAGACAGAAGCGAGAGUAGACAGUCUUAAAGUGAUAAGGUUUUAAGACGAAAGAGAAACAGCUCAGAACAAUAAUUAAGGUUCCUAAAUCUUUACUAAUAGAAAUUAAGAAUAGUCUCUUAUCUUAAACAACUGUGAGAUAGGCUUGGAAAUAGCCAUUCUUUAAUGACAAUGUAAUAAUUCAACAGUCUAUUAGAUAAGAUGCAUCGAUGAUUAAAGGAUCUAAGUAAAGUACCGAUAUAUUGUAGUGAAUAUAUUUUAUAGCCACUGAUAGUGGAUCAUUCAAUAUAAAUGAAGAUGAGUUUUUUAAUUCAUUGGAUUUAAUUGAAGAGAGAAUGUUGGUAUGAGUAAUGUUAAAAAAGCUAUUAAUGCUUUUCACCUAUAGCAAAAGAUUUUCAAAUGCUCUGCUUAACAUCAUUUUGAUUAAAGCGGUCUCUAAGUUUCUUCAAGAUUAUCUAAUAUGAUAAAACGAUGAGUGAUUUCUAUCUAUCUCUUAAACAUUCUUAUCCCUUACUUUCCCUCCCCCCCCCCUCCCUUAGGGAGGGGGGGAGGAAAGGAUUGAAAUAGGGAGCUUAUUGUUCAGGAAAAGGAUAUAGAAGAUAACCGUAUCUUAAACCGACACUGGUUUGCUAGUAGAAUAUACUAAGGUGUAUGAAGGAUCUAUUCCAAAGGAACUCGGCAAACUUACUCUGUACUUUCGAAAUAAGGAGUAUCAUCUAUCUUAUUUAUAUAAGAGAAGUGAUUUCAAUAAAUUAGGUCAUACAACUGUUUACUUAAAACACAGUACAUUGCUAAUAUGAAUAAUAUAAGUAUAAUGUAUGAAACCUGUCCAAUGUUUGCCUUACUAAUGAUCUAUCUUUUUAGUAAAUCUAGAAUGAUAGACAGAAUAGCAGAUGAAUGACAGUCUUAACUAUAAGGAUUCUAAUGUAGCGAAAUUCCUUGUCUACUAAUUAUAGUCCCGCAUGAAUGGUUUAAUGAUAUGACAACUGUCUCUGGAAUAGCUUCAAUGAAAUUGGAAUUCCAGUGAAGAUACUGGAUACUUUCGAUCAGACGCGAAGACCCUAAGACCUUUACUGUAGAUAGUUAUUUGUGACUGAUAUCAUAUUUGAUUAGCCAUAAGGUAAUCCAUUAUUUAGGAUAACUAUGUAAUACCUUUCUUAUAUAUAUUGGUCUGCAUUACUUAAUUUAUUAAGAACAGUGACUAUCAGACAGUUUGAUUGGGGCGAUAUCCUCAUAAAGAAUACCUGAGGAGCACAGAAGCUAUGCUUUCCUUAGUCUGAAACUAAGAAUCCAUUUUACUUACCAUAAAUUAUGGAGCAAGUAAACAAUGAAUUGGAUUAGAUAAGUGUAAUAGCAUAAGCAUGGUAGACUGUAAGAGAGACAUCUCAACCAGGAUACGUAAGUAGGUUAUAGUGAACCACAUUUACUAAAUGGAAAGGAAUGUGUUCAACGAAUUAAAGGUACCUUAGGGAUAACAGGCUGAUUCCUUCUGAGAGUUCAUAUUGACGAAGGAGUUUGGCACCUCGAUGUUGAAUUUACUUAUCCUAGAGUUGCAGAAGAUUCUAAGGGUCCGACUGUUCGUCGGCUAAGAAGUAACAUUAUUUGAGUUAAGUACGUCGUGAGACAGUACGGUCUCUAUCUUUCGAAAGAAACUUGAGUAUAUAUCAAUUCUAGGAUUCGUACGCAAGGAUUAUCCCGGAUCAAUCUCUGGUUCAUCUGUUGUUAUUAUUUUAAUAGCAUAGCAGAAAAGCUACAUUGAGAAAGAAGAAUGACUGAAAGCAUAUCAAGUCAGAAAUCUCUUGAUCUUUACUCAUAUCUAGGUUAUAGAUUAUAACCUCUUAAUAGGCUUUGAUUGUACAGCUCUACGCUAGAUACAAAGUACUAAUUUUGAUUUAACUUCAGAUC
rnacentral:rRNA from 1 species